CUUGGUCAUUUAGAGGAAGUAAAAGUCGUAACAAGGUCUCCGUUGGUGAACCAGCGGAGGGAUCAUUACCGAGUUUACAACUCCCAAACCCCUGUGAACAUACCAAUUGUUGCCUCGGCGGAUCAGCCCGCUCCCGGUAAAACGGGACGGCCCGCCAGAGGACCCCUAAACUCUGUUUCUAUAUGUAACUUCUGAGUAAAACCAUAAAUAAAUCAAAACUUUCAACAACGGAUCUCUUGGUUCUGGCAUCGAUGAAGAACGCAGCAAAAUGCGAUAAGUAAUGUGAAUUGCAGAAUUCAGUGAAUCAUCGAAUCUUUGAACGCACAUUGCGCCCGCCAGUAUUCUGGCGGGCAUGCCUGUUCGAGCGUCAUUUCAACCCUCAAGCCCCCGGGUUUGGUGUUGGGGAUCGGCGAGCCCUUGCGGCAAGCCGGCCCCGAAAUCUAGUGGCGGUCUCGCUGCAGCUUCCAGUGCGUAGUAGUAAAACCCUCGCAACUGGUACGCGGCGCGGCCAAGCCGUUAAACCCCCAACUUCUGAAUGUUGACCUCGGAUCAGGUAGGAAUACCCGCUGAACUUAAGCAUAUCAAUAAGCGGAGGA
rnacentral:rRNA from 1 species